AUUGAACGCUGGCGGCAUGCCUAACACAUGCAAGUCGAACGGUAACGCGGAGAGCUUGCUCUCUGGCGACGAGUGGCGGACGGGUGAGUAAUACUUAGGAAUCUGCCCAGUAGUGGGGGACAACAUUCGGAAACGGAUGCUAAUACCGCAUACGCCCUACGGGGGAAAGCGGGGGAUCUUCGGACCUCGCGCUAUUGGAUGAGCCUAAGUCGGAUUAGCUUGUAGGUAGGGUAAUGGCCUACCUAGGCGACGAUCCGUAGCUGGUCUGAGAGGACGAUCAGCCACACUGGGACUGAGACACGGCCCAGACUCCUACGGGAGGCAGCAGUGGGGAAUAUUGGACAAUGGGCGCAAGCCUGAUCCAGCAAUGCCGCGUGUGUGAAGAAGGCCUGCGGGUUGUAAAGCACUUUCAGUAGAGAAGAAAAGCUUACGGUUAAUACCUGUGAGUCUUGACGUAACCUACAGAAGAAGCACCGGCUAACUCCGUG
rnacentral:rRNA from 1 species